AGUGAACGCUGGCGGUAGGCCUAACACAUGCAAGUCGAACGGCGGCACAGUAAGAGCUUGCUCUUACGGGUGGCGAGUGGCGGACGGGUGAGGAAUACAUCGGAAUCUACUUUUUCGUGGGGGAUAACGUAGGGAAACUUACGCUAAUACCGCAUACGACCUACGGGUGAAAGCAGGGGAUCUUCGGACCUUGCGCGAUUGAAUGAGCCGAUGUCGGAUUAGCUAGUUGGCGGGGUAAAGGCCCACCAAGGCGACGAUCCGUAGCUGGUCUGAGAGGAUGAUCAGCCACACUGGAACUGAGACACGGUCCAGACUCCUACGGGAGGCAGCAGUGGGGAAUAUUGGACAAUGGGCGCAAGCCUGAUCCAGCCAUCCCGCGUGGGUGAAGAAGGCCUUCGGGUUGUAAAGCCCUUUUGUUGGGAAAGAAAAGCAGCAGGUUAAUACCCCGCUGUUCUGACGGUACCCAAAGAAUAAGCACCGGCUAACUUCGUG
rnacentral:rRNA from 1 species